GGUCAAUUAACACUAGUGUGGGAUUUACAACUAAUUGAUCACAACCAGUUACAGAUUCCUUUGUUUCUUCUCCACUCCCACUGUUUCACUUGACCAGUCUUGG
rnacentral:sRNA from 1 species